UGGGGACCCCUCAUUUAGGAGCCCUUGACUGCCGGGAACCCGAAUAAAAUCUGGGUUGAUACAAAAGAUCAGGGAGGGGAGAGAGGACUUUGCAAAGGAUUCUUGGGUUUCUUGUAAACUGGGCUUCCCCAGUGCAUCAUAGUUACUUUUAAAAUGCACUUCUGUGCCUGUUCUCCCCUUCCCUCCCCUUCCCUGAGUAAAGGGAGGGUUGCCUGUUCUGUCAUUGAGUAAAUUUUAGUUCACUGUUCCGUGGGGGCAUUUCCUAUUUGACGUUGUCCUGUACGCUGUUAACAACAGUGGUCCUGGGGCCCCAAUUAAAGAAGCCAGGCUGGGAUCAAGCAACGCUUCUCCGUCCUUGAGUGACGAUGUCUCCUCGAUCUCCGUGCCGCCGUCCUGUGGAGCUGUGUGGCACUUCAUCUGGAGAGGUGACAACCCAACAAAGCUCUGCCGAGGGCGCCCCCUGCUGCGGAGAGCACAAUAUUGCCUGGGGGACCUGGAAGGACAAACUUCCAACUGAGCGGCUAGACAUUUUCAGAUAAAAUUCCAGGCCCCUCUCCCCAAUCCAGGCCCAGCCUCCUGCUUGAUCAACUGAGACGGCGGAGGCCAAAGCAGGUUGAGCUCCCGGGGUCACGGCCAGGUCAGCUCCAGGCUCUGCUCAAAGCCGCCCCACAGCUCCCUGCUUGCUGAACGACACCCCAGAGUCCCUGGACCUUCGUCCUUGCAACCUCCAGGACCUCACCACGCGUCCGCUGCCCCCCUCCUCCUCCAUCACAGAUGAGCCUGGUUUUCCUCCAGAAGGAUCUCCAGCGACCAGCGCAGAUGUUGGCGGAAUGAACAAAUUGCCCGGCAGUAUUUACUGAGCACCUACUGCAUGCCCGCACACUCCCAGGCCGAGAAACAAAGUAACAAUGACAACCAAGGUGCCAGCCCUCCUGGAGGGACAGAUGCUCAUUACCAAACCACAGGAAAGUGGCUGCCCUCCCUCCCUUCAUCACACCCACCUCCACCCCACCCCUUUCCAGCACCAGCCUAUUCUUGUUCCAUAACCUUCCUGCUCUCCAAAGACCCCUGAAGACUAUCCUCCAGACUCCCGCUGGGUGUGUUCUUAGUCCCCUGACUUCUGGAGUCCAGACCCCACCCUCCUGGCCACCUCGGGACCUCACAUCUCCAGGCCUUUGCUUGGGCUCAGGCUCUGCUGUCUGCCUGCCAUGUUGCUUCUAACUCAGAAAAUUUCAGUCUACCUU